UACAGAGGGUGCGAGCGUUAAUCGGAAUUACUGGGCGUAAAGCGUGCGUAGACGGUUACGUAAGUCGGAUGUGAAAUCCCCGGGCUCAACCUGGGAAUUGCAUUCGAGACUGCGCAGCUGGGGUGCGGAAGAGGGAAGCGGAAUUUCCGGUGUAGCGGUGAAAUGCGUAGAUAUCGGGAGGAACAUCAGUGGCGAAGGCGGCUGCCUGGCCCAAUACUGACACUCAGGUGCGACAGCGUGGGGAGCAAACAGG
rnacentral:rRNA from 1 species